GAUUUUAAAAAUUUUUUGACAUUAGUUCGAUUGUGGCUCUCCUUGGUAUAAUGAUUACUGCUACUACUUGGUUGCUACUAUUGAGUUCAGCUUUCGGUCAUCUCAGCCGCGUAUCAAGUAAAGUAUUUCUCACAGAAUGCGGGUCCAAUAAUCGAAGCGGGGUGGACUUUCUUGGAUCUUACCGAGGAAAGGAGACCAGCCCGGGCCAAUACCCAUGGGUACUGGCCGCUCUGGACUGCAGGGACUCCCUGACUCGUUACAUAGGUGGGGGGUCCUUGAUUGCCUCCAGUGUGGUUCUCAGUAGCGUUCAAGUACUGAGAGACACAAGCGAGGCCGAUCUUCUGGUGCGCGCUGGCGAGUGGAAUGUUUCGACGACGACAGAAAUGUAUUCCCACGUGGACCGGCCGGUCAAGAGGAUAGUCAGGCACGAACAAUUCAAUAACCAAAACGGAGACAACGAUGUGGCGCUGCUCUUCCUUACAUUAGCCUUCCCAGCCCAGCCUAAUAUCCGGCCAGUGUGCCUGGCCGAGGAACCCGCAGCCUUCGGAGGGGUAGGCUGCUUUUACAAUGGCUGGGGAAUGGAGGAGACAAACUCUUUGGAAUACCCCAAUGUCUUAAAGAAAGUCACCAUUAUUGUAAAAAGCAAUGUAAGCAGUAUAUCUCUUUCUGAUAAUUUCAUUCUUGGCCAAGCCACGAACAGAAACAUCGGCUGCAAGGGCGAGAGUGGGUCGCCCUUGGUCUGCCCUGUGCCCAGGAACCCAAAUAGCUUCGAGCAGAUUGGCAUUCUCAUUUGUAAAGAUGGGCGUCCAAGUCUCUUCACAAAUGUUGCCAAAUUUCUGCCAUGGAUCAACAAGCAAGUUGAAGAUAUAGCUCAAAACGAUGACUACGAGACUAAUUCAAAAAAUAUAUUGGUAUAUUGACAUAUCCAUACCCUCUUUUGCUUUAUUUAAUUGUAAUUUAAUUAAUCAAUUUUAUAGCUUUUUUUAAAAUGAUAAUAUAUAACUUAUAUAAUAUAAGGCUUUCGGAAUAAUCGUUUAAUUUUUCCAAUUAUUUAAGGUUCCUAAUAAAAUAUUUUCCAGUAUUUCCAGUAAAAUGUCACUUUGUAGACAACCCCAUGGCACGGACUAACUGCCAAAAGAGAAAAUGAAGAUACUCUCUCCCUGUAAUUCAACGAAUACUUGCAAUUAAAGGGGACCCCCUCUAAUAAACAUUAAGUUGACAUGAAAUACGCGCCAAACAAAUGAAGCAAGUGCAUUUCAUCCCAGGCAAGGCGGGUUGUGGCCAGAUACUAUCUAAAGCCGUCCUUCCAGACCACUUUUUUUGCGCCGACACCGCAGGAUAUGUUUACAAAUUGAAAAAUAUAGUAUGCGACUGGUAGAACGUGCAGUACGAAGUGCACAGUGGAAAAAAGCGUAUCCCAUUUUUUUAUAUUUUUUAUGAAGCAAACUAUAAGCAACACAGUUUUUUAAACUAACUCAAGACCUUCAAAAAUAUUCUUUUUGUUUUAAGCUUAAACAAAUAUCCGAAAACAGAGUGCCGAUUGGGGAAACAUUUUUUCAAAAAUGAACAUUUCGUGGGUCAGUUGUUUGGAAAGCCUUCCUAUAAGUGGACCAUCGACGUCGGUUCGACUCACCCACAACUCUUUUAUACUAAAUGCAGAAAUAUGAAAGUGCAGGACACGAAACAUUUGCGUGACAAGCAAAAACAUCCUGGGACCACAUCCAACGGAGUUUCAAGGGAGUAUCAUGGGGUCGGCAAUAGGAAUUUACCUCCAGUGCAUUUCAGAAGGAACCAGAAAAAUAAUUAUGGCCCAAAUCACAAUAAAGCCACCGUAGAAAGGGGACAUAAACGUAAAAAGAACGCUAACAAAUUAGGAGCGCUAGCACAAAAAAACGAGUGGGCAGUGGCAGAAGGCUAACUGCCCGCAGGAUAUUUCUGCAAUUUUCUGCAACCAUGACAUUGAAAAUAAACUUUAUCAUUUGAAGGGAAGGGAAUUUAUAGGAAGGUUCACAUAGCGUACACAGAACCAAAACACUAUAGGAAUAUUACAA